ACCAGCCACCAGGCGGCGGCUCGGGCUCCCGCUCCUGCAUCACGCGCCGCCUCAGUCCUCCCCGCUCCGGCGCUCCCGCAUCACGCGCGGGCGAGCGGCAUAGAGCGCAGGCACGCGCAGCUUUGGCGAGCGCUGGCGCGCGGGAACGAGCUGCGGCGUGCAGCGGCCAGCGGGAGCAGGCGUCGGGCCGGGCGAGCAGCAGGAGCGGCCAAGCGACGGCGCACAACAGAGUGGGCCCAAGCGGCGGCAGAUGGCACUACCGCUCACGGCUGCAGGGUUGCUUGCAUCCCAAUCUUGAGCUGCUUGCUUUUUGUGCCUGCUACAUGCUGUUUACAUCUACUGAUACAUCGAAAUGGAAACCAAUGCAUUUAACAUUGCUUGGGGGAAAUUUUAUCCCAUUUACAGGUUUAUUGUCUCGGUGCAACACAUUGUUUUCAUUCGGUGUCUCCAGUCCGUGGUCAGAGUCCAAUAAACCUAGUCCUCUGAAAUAUCAUCAGAAGCAUUUUCUGGAGACCCUUCAUGAUCAACACAUUCAAGUGAUACUCUUGCCUCUGUAACAAGCUUUCUAGCUUCUACAAGUGAUGCUUGAGCAAAAGGGCUCAAGAAAUUUGUUUGUUCAUUUGAUGAGUUAGUGAGUGCAGAGUUCAAUGAUCAAUACAUGAUUAUCAAGCUAAACUGUCCUCA